rnacentral:rRNA from 1 species
UACGGAGGGUGCGAGCGUUAUCCGGAAUUACUGGAUUUAAAGGGUGCGUAGGCGGCUUUGUAAGUCAGGAGUGAAAGUUUGCGGCUCAACCGUAAAAUUGCUUUUGAUACUGCGAGGCUAGAAUUAGGAUGAGGUCAGCGGAAUGUGGCAUGUAGCGGUGAAAUGCAUAGAUAUGCCAUAGAACACCAAUUGCGAAGGCAGCUGGCUAGACCUGGAUUGACGCUGAGGCACGAAAGCGUGGGGAGCGAACAGG